UACGGAGGGUGCGAGCGUUAAUCGGAAUUACUGGGCGUAAAGCGCACGCAGGCGGUUUGUUAAGCUAGAUGUGAAAGCCCCGGGCUCAACCUGGGAUGGUCAUUUAGAACUGGCAGACUAGAGUCUUGGAGAGGGGAGUGGAAUUCCAGGUGUAGCGGUGAAAUGCGUAGAUAUCUGGAGGAACAUCAGUGGCGAAGGCGACUCCCUGGCCAAAGACUGACGCUCAUGUGCGAAAGUGUGGGCAGCGAACAGG
rnacentral:rRNA from 1 species